AUUAGAACAAAGUCCUCAUCUUCAGUCGUUGUGACCAGUAAUCCUGUGCGCUCAAUCCAUUUACCGAAGGCCUCCUCCUUGGAGAACUCAACAGGGAUGAAGAUGAAGUUUCCUUGAGUGAAUCUCUCACUGCGAAGGUGAAGUCAUGUUUGCACAACGAAUCUUUUAAGUGUCUCCUCUCCAAGGCUUCACUGCUCGCUUCCUCCAGCUGACAGUGCCAAUAAAGUGUCUUCAAACCAGAGCCUUUGCGCGACAUAUCAUGCAUUUUUAUAGGUCCAUGCUCUGAAGUCAACAGUAAAACUUAAGAGGACCUCCUCUCAUAAGCAUUUUUAAAAUGCUGCACAAGAGCUCCAAGUUAUGUCCAAACAGCAUGAACAGUCCGAAAGCUACUGGCCACCCAGUGUACAUCCAAGACUCUGCCAGUGCAAAGAAGUUGUGAGCCUACUUCAGCUGCUGCACCUUUUGCAGUGCAAAGUAUUCACUGAGGACAAUGAGCAAGACAAGGCCCAAGGAUAUACAGAGAUCAGUGUUCACUGUCCUGAUGGCCUGAAGAAAGAAGCAUUGGAACACCUUUGAAAGCAGGUUAAUCCAGCCAUGCUGAUAGUUCACAUCUUCCCCAUCAGACUUUGUUGCAGUGAUGUCACCGUGCUCCCCACAUCUCU